rnacentral:tRNA from 1 species
CAGAAAAUAGCUUAAAUUAAAAGCAUUUUAUUUACAUUAAAAAGAUAUUAUAAAAUUUUUCUGA